CACUUAACCCCAAUUGCCUCAAAAAGAAAAAAAAAGGAGUGUGCAAUGGUUACCUCAUCUUCGCAUUUAUGAUUCUAAAUAGUAGUGUGGAUGUAAAAGCUACAGUUGGUAAAUUAAACAAAUUGAAAUCCCUUUUCAAGUGUAAAGAAGGUACAUGUGACAAGGAAGACAAUUUCCCAUGCUUUUAUCAGGGUCUCUAAAUCUUAUAUGGUAUCUGCCACUGGAAUCAGAAGCAAGUCACAAUUAUAAUAUUUAAAACAAUAGAUGCAUCUGAAGGUUAUUAUUACUGUAGUCUCUUUUAAAGUAAUAAAUUGUUUAAAAUUCAAGGAGUCCUGCCUUGUUAACAAUAGAAAGUCAUCAUCUUUAAUAAUGUAGUCACAUAACACUAGAUCU